rnacentral:sRNA from 1 species
CCACCCACCCACUGGCCUUCCUCCCCAGAUACCCAGAGCAGCACCAGGGCAGCCCGGCUUGGGCGGCCCCCCAAGUCCUUGCCUACCCCCUGCCACAGCUGGACGACCUCUUCCGGAAUUCAGACGUCAAGAAGGAUUUUCGGAGCGUCCGCUUGCGGGACCUGGGGCCCGGCAAAUCCGUCCGCGCCAUUGUGGAUGUGCACUUUGACCCCACCACAGCCUUCAGGGCACCCGACGUGGCCCGGGCCCUGCUCCGGCAGAUCCAGGUGUCCAGGC